CCUAGAUAAAAAAAAAUCUAAGACUGUGAGAAAAGAAAAAAAAAUAUUUUGUGAGCUAAUAGUUAAAUGAUUUAGUAAGAGGGACCAUGCACACUUCCUCUCCUUACUUUUCAGACUUGUGUAUUCUGAUUAUGAAAGAAAUAACACCAUAUAUUACAUUGUGUAGGACAGUACCUACCUUCACUGGACUGUUUUAGCAGGUGCCAUAACUGAAUUUUCAAUAAGCCAUUUCACCAUUCUAUUAAAAGUAUUACAGGAAGAGAAACUAAAUCUGUAUAACUUUCUCCUUCCAUAAUCUCCCACCAAGAGCCUGAUUGAUCUCCCAAAGCAAGCACCAUGUCAUAGGUUCCGCAUUGGCCUUUGAUUUUAGGUUUGGCACAGGAGUAAUUCUUCCAUUCAUUGCUUGGCCAGAGUCUGCAGGACAGGUUUGGCAGCAUUGUAUCCUUGUCUUCAAAGCAGCAUGCUCCCUUUUGGCCCAGGAUGUGUCUAGAAAUGUUAACUGAAAGCUAUGAUAUGGAAAGGGUGACUCACAACUCUGAUUGUUGCCCUACCUUCCUGUGUCUGAUUUGGUAUCAGAAUGAUGCACAAAA
rnacentral:lncRNA from 10 species